UACAGAGGUCUCAAGCGUUGUUCGGAUUCAUUGGGCGUAAAGGGCGCGUAGGCGGCCCUCUAAGUCAGACGUGAAAUCCCACGGCUCAACCGUGGAACUGCGUCUGAUACUGGAGGGCUUGAAUCCGGGAGAGGGAUGUGGAAUUCCAGGUGUAGCGGUGAAAUGCGUAGAUAUCUGGAGGAACACCGGUGGCGAAGGCGGCAUCCUGGACCGGUAUUGACGCUGAGGCGCGAAAGCUAGGGGAGCAAACGGG
rnacentral:rRNA from 1 species